CCUACGGGAUGCAGCAGUGAGGAAUAUUGGUCAAUGGACGAGAGUCUGAACCAGCCAAGUAGCGUGAAGGAUGACUGCCCUAUGGGUUGUAAACUUCUUUUAUAUGGGAAUAAAAUGUUCCACGUGUGGGAUUUUGUAUGUACCAUAUGAAUAAGGAUCGGCUAACUCCGUGCCAGCAGCCGCGGUAAUACGGAGGAUCCGAGCGUUAUCCGGAUUUAUUGGGUUUAAAGGGAGCGUAGGUGGAUUGUUAAGUCAGUUGUGAAAGUUUGGGGCUCAACCGUAAAAUUGCAGUUGAAACUGGCAGUCUGGAGUACAGGAGAGGUAGGCGGAAUUCGUGGUGUAGCGGUGAAAUGCUUAGAUAUCACGAAGAACUCCGAUUGCGAAGGCAGCUCACUGGACUGCAACUGACACUGAUGCUCGAAAGUGUGGGUAUCAAACAGGAUUAGAUACCCGUGUAGUC
rnacentral:rRNA from 1 species